rnacentral:rRNA from 1 species
UAAUGGCCCACCAAGGCGACGAUCGGUAGCUGGUCUGAGAGGAUGAUCAGCCUCACUGCUACUGAGACACGGCCCAGACUCCUACAGGAGGCAGCAGUGGGGAAUGUUGGACAGUGGGCGCAAGCCUGAUCCAGCGAUGCCGCGUGGAGGAUGAAGCUUCUCGGAGUGUAAACCCCUUUCGACCCGGACGAAACGCCCGUGAGGUCUUGACGGUACGGGUAUAAGAAGCCCCGGCUAACUACGUGCCAGCAGCGGCGGUAAGACGUAGGGGGCCAGCGUUGCUCGCAAUUACUGGGCGUAAAAGGGUUCGUAGGCGGUGCGGCAAGUCGGAAGUGAAAUCUCUGUGCUUAACUCAGAGGCUGCUCCCGAUACUGCCGUGCUUUGACUGCAGAAGACGGCCAGUGGUAAUUGCUGGUGUAGCGGAUGAAAAUG